rnacentral:rRNA from 1 species
AUUGCAGCGGACAGAUGGGAGCUUGCUCCCUGAUGUUAGCGGCGGACGGGUGAGUAACACGUGGGUAACCUGCCUGUAAGACUGGCUAAUAACUCCGGGAAACCGGGGCUAAUACCGGAUGGUUGUUUGAACCGCAUGGUUCAGACAUAAAAGGUGGCUUCGGCUACCACUUACAGAUGGACCCGCGGCGCAUUAGCUAGUUCAAGGGGUGAGGUAACGGCUCACCAAGGCGACGAUGCGUAGCCGACCUGAGAGGGUGAUCGGCCACACUGGGACUGAGACACGGCCCAGAGGUCACUCCUACGGGAGGCAGCAGUAGGGAAUCUUGUGCAAUGGACGAAAGUCUGACGGAGCAACGCCGCGUGAGUGAUGAAGGUUUUCGGAUCGUAAAGCUCUGUUGUUAGGGAAGAACAAGUGCCGUUCAAAUAGGGCGGCACCUUAGACGGUACCUAACCAGAAAGCCACGGCUAACUACGUGCCAGCAGCCGCGGAAUACGUAGGUGGCAAGCGUUGUCCGGAAUUAUUGGGCGUAAAGGGCUCGCAGGCGGUUUCUUAAGUCUGAUGUGAAAGCCCCCGGCUCAACCGGGGAGGGUCAUUGGAAACUGGGGAACUUAUGUAUGCAGAAGAGGAGAGUGGAAUUCCACGUGUAGCGGUGAAAUGCGUAGAGAUGUGGAGGAACACCAGUGGCGAAGGCGACUCUCUGGUCUGUAACUGACGCUGAGGAGCGAAAGCGUGGGGAGCGAACAGGAUUAGAUACCCUGGUAGUCCACGCCGUAAACGAUGAGUGCUAAGUGUUAGGGGGUUUCCGCCCCUUAGUGCUGCAGCUAACGCAUUAAGCACUCCGCCUGGGGAGUACGGUCGCAAGACUGAAACUCAAAGGAAUUGACGGGGGCCCGCACAAGCGGUGGAGCAUGUGGUUUAAUUCGAAGCAACGCGAAGAACCUUACCAGGUCUUGACAUCCUCUGACAAUCCUAGAGAUAGGACGUCCCCUUCGGGGGCAGAGUGACAGGUGGUGCAUGGUUGUCGUCAGCUCGUGUCGUGAGAUGUUGGGUUAAGUCCCGCAACGAGCGCAACCCUUGAUCUUAGUUGCCAGCAUUCAGUUCUGACUCUAAGGUGACUGCCGGUGACAAACCGGAGGAAGGUGGGGAUGA